UACGUAGGAUGCGAGCGUUAAUCGGAAUUACUGGGCGUAAAGUGUGCGCAGGCGGCCGAGCAAGUCGAGUGUGAAAGCCCCGAGCUUAACUUGGGAACUGCGCUCGAAACUACUUGGCUAGAGUGUGGCAGAGGGAGGUGGAAUUCCACGUGUAGCGGUGAAAUGCGUAGAGAUGUGGAGGAACACCAGUGGCGAAGGCGACUCUUUGGCCUGUAACUGACACUGAGGCGCGAAAGCGUGGGGAGCAAACAGG
rnacentral:rRNA from 1 species